UUCAGCAACUCACCCAGUUUAUGCGUUUUGCAACAUUUCACUUUUUUAUCAUAAUCAUUUAUGUAAUAGCUCGACUUUUUACCGAACUCAUCAUUACAGCAGAAAUUUUAAUGCUAUCGUAUAAUUAAUGGCCACACAAUAAGCUAUUAGCGCUAAUAGUAGUUUAUUUAAAUUUUUUAUUUAUCAGCCGAUGAGGGCAAAGGCAAGUUGCUAAUAAUAGCCCGUUCAGGAAAUGUUUAUCAAUUACCUCCACUCCACAAUAGAUGUGAAGAACAAGAUCGAAUGAUCGAUGAGAUUGUCAUCGACUUUCGUUCUAAGCUGACGAUGAGUCGCUUUUUUUCGACCUUUGAUAUUUACGACCUGAUCGCGAUGAAUAGCAGAAUUUGGAUUAUUCACUUCUGUUUGUUUUCGUACACAGAUGAAUGCGAUUACUUUGUUGAAUUAAGUAAAAUAUUUGUAACCUCUCAAUGUCACCUAGUAAUCCGCAAAAUCUCUCUUUGUUGCUUAUUCUUUCGGAGCUCGCAGCAACCGUAAAAACCCUACAUAAACACCGACCCGGCUUUCUAUUUGUUUACUCCUUUUUGCAAUUAUCACGCUUAAAUUAAUCAUGUGAAGGAUACGCCUCUGUCCUGUUGUGUUCCUUUUCACAAGUAUUUUAGCCAGUGUUGUAGAACCAUGUAUUUCGCAAAGUUCGUAUUUUUGAGUGGCUGUUUUUCUGUUUUGGUUUCUUUAGGCGGAGCUCAAUCGUGCAAAACACGCGGAGAAUGGUGUUCUGAUUCAGAACUGUGCUGUGGUGGUUGUUGCAUUCAAAAUGUUUGUGUGGAUGUGACCUAUGAUGAUUGUUCGUCUCUAGAAGAUCCGUGUAUGGAUUGGUAUUGUCCAGCAGAUGCAGUGUGUCGCAUGUAUAGGGGCUGCAAGGGGUGCGAAUUGGAACGAAAGUGCAUUUUUUUGAAUCCUAAUAACGACGUAUAUUUUCAAAUGGACCCAGAAGUGACUCGAGUGCGGAAGUCAGAUGGUAAUAGCCUGAUGGUACAGAGUGAAUAUUUAUUGUUCUGUUUAUUACUAACUAGCAGAUACCUGAUUUGAAAUUAUUAUUAGUGUUACAACAGAAGGUUUAGUCGAAUUGUGACUCCAAACUCGAAAAAAGCGUUAUCAGUGUAUUCAGAAUUGUAGUCAAAGUCCAAUAAACGUGA